CCCUUAGAUGUUCUGGGCUGCACGCGCGCUACACUGACGCACGCAACAGGUGCCUGCUCCGAGAGGACUGGGUAAUCAUUUGAGUGUGCGUCGUGAUGGGGAUAGAAUAUUGUAAUUAUUACUCUUCAACGAGGAAUUCCUAGUAAGCGCAAGUCAGCAGCUUGCGCUGAUUACGUCCCUGCCCUUUGUACACACCGCCCGUCGCUCCUACCGAUGGGUGAUCCGGUGAAUGAUUCGGACUUCAGCGGCUCCUCUGGGGUGCGCCGGAGAAAGUUUUGUGAACCUUAUCACUCGGAGGAAGGAGAAGUCGUAACA
rnacentral:rRNA from 1 species